UUAAGCGACUAAGCGUACACGGUGGAUGCCCUGGCAGUCAGAGGCGAUGAAGGACGUGCUAAUCUGCGAAAAGCGUCGGUAAGGUGAUAUGAACCGUUAUAGCCGGCGAUGUCCGAAUGGGGAAACCCAGUGUGAUUCGUCACACUAUCGUUAACUGAAUACAUAGGUUAACGAGGCGAACCGGGGGAACUGAAACAUCUAAGUACCCCGAGGAAAAGAAAUCAACCGAGAUUCCCCCAGUAGCGGCGAGCGAACGGGGAGCAGCCCAGAGUCUGAAUCAGCUUGUGUGUUAGUGGAACGGUCUGGAAAGUCCGACGGUACAGGGUGAUAGUCCCGUACACCAAAAUGCACAGGUUGUGAACUCGAAGAGUAGGGCGGGACACGUGGUAUCCUGUCUGAAUAUGGGGGGACCAUCCUCCAAGGCUAAAUACUCCUGACUGACCGAUAGUGAACCAGUACCGUGAGGGAAAGGCGAAAAGAACCCCGGCGAGGGGAGUGAAAAAGAACCUGAAACCGUGUACGUACAAGCAGUGGGAGCACCUUCGGGUGUGACUGCGUACCUUUUGUAUAAUGGGUCAGCGACUUAUAUUCUGUAGCAAGGUUAACCGUAUAGGGGAGCCGCAGGGAAACCGAGUCUUAACUGGGCGUUAAGUUGCAGGGUAUAGACCCGAAACCCGGUGAUCUAGCCAUGGGCAGGUUGAAGGUUGGGUAACACUAACUGGAGGACCGAACCGACUAAUGUUGAAAAAUUAGCGGAUGACUUGUGGCUGGGGGUGAAAGGCCAAUCAAACCGGGAGAUAGCUGGUUCUCCCCGAAAGCUAUUUAGGUAGCGCCUCGUGAAUUCAUCUUCGGGGGUAGAGCACUGUUUCGGCUAGGGGGUCAUCCCGACUUACCAACCCGAUGCAAACUACGAAUACCGAAGAAUGUUAUCACGGGAGACACACGGCGGGUGCUAACGUCCGUCGUGAAGAGGGAAACAACCCAGACCGCCAGCUAAGGUCCCAAAGUCACAGUUAAGUGGGAAACGAUGUGGGAAGGCACAGACAGCCAGGAUGUUGGCUUAGAAGCAGCCAUCAUUUAAAGAAAGCGUAAUAGCUCACUGGUCGAGUCGGCCUGCGCGGAAGAUGUAACGGGGCUAAACUGUGCACCGAAGCUGCGGCAGCGACACUAUGUGUUGUUGGGUAGGGGAGCGUUCUGUAAGCCUGCGAAGGUGGCCUGUGAGGGUUGCUGGAGGUAUCAGAAGUGCGAAUGCUGACAUAAGUAACGAUAAUGCGGGUGAAAAGCCCGCACGCCGGAAGACCAAGGGUUCCUGUCCAACGUUAAUCGGGGCAGGGUGAGUCGACCCCUAAGGCGAGGCCGAAAGGCGUAGUCGAUGGGAAACAGGUUAAUAUUCCUGUACUUGGUGUUACUGCGAAGGGGGGACGGAGAAGGCUAUGUUAGCCGGGCGACGGUUGUCCCGGUUUAAGCAUGUAGGCGGAGGUUCCAGGUAAAUCCGGUACCUUUUUAACGCUGAGGUGUGAUGACGAGGCACUACGGUGCUGAAGUAACAAAUGCCCUGCUUCCAGGAAAAGCCUCUAAGCAUCAGGUAACAUUAAAUCGUACCCCAAACCGACACAGGUGGUCAGGUAGAGAAUACCAAGGCGCUUGAGAGAACUCGGGUGAAGGAACUAGGCAAAAUGGUGCCGUAACUUCGGGAGAAGGCACGCUGAUAUGUAGGUGAAGCCCCUGCGGGUGGAGCUGAAAUCAGUCGAAGAUACCAGCUGGCUGCAACUGUUUAUUAAAAACACAGCACUGUGCAAACACGAAAGUGGACGUAUACGGUGUGACGCCUGCCCGGUGCCGGAAGGUUAAUUGAUGGGGUUAUCCGUAAGGAGAAGCUCUUGAUCGAAGCCCCGGUAAACGGCGGCCGUAACUAUAACGGUCCUAAGGUAGCGAAAUUCCUUGUCGGGUAAGUUCCGACCUGCACGAAUGGCGUAAUGAUGGCCAGGCUGUCUCCACCCGAGACUCAGUGAAAUUGAACUCGCUGUGAAGAUGCAGUGUACCCGCGGCAAGACGGAAAGACCCCGUGAACCUUUACUAUAGCUUGACACUGAACAUUGAGCCUUGAUGUGUAGGAUAGGUGGGAGGCUUUGAAGCGUGGACGCCAGUCUGCGUGGAGCCAACCUUGAAAUACCACCCUUUAAUGUUUGAUGUUCUAACGUUGGCCCCUGACCGGGGUUGCGGACAGUGUCUGGUGGGUAGUUUGACUGGGGCGGUCUCCUCCCAAAGAGUAACGGAGGAGCACGAAGGUUAGCUAAUCCUGGUCGGACAUCAGGAGGUUAGUGCAAUGGCAUAAGCUAGCUUGACUGCGAGCGUGACGGCGCGAGCAGGUGCGAAAGCAGGUCAUAGUGAUCCGGUGGUUCUGAAUGGAAGGGCCAUCGCUCAACGGAUAAAAGGUACUCCGGGGAUAACAGGCUGAUACCGCCCAAGAGUUCAUAUCGACGGCGGUGUUUGGCACCUCGAUGUCGGCUCAUCACAUCCUGGGGCUGAAGUAGGUCCCAAGGGUAUGGCUGUUCGCCAUUUAAAGUGGUACGCGAGCUGGGUUUAGAACGUCGUGAGACAGUUCGGUCCCUAUCUGCCGUGGGCGCUGGAGAAUUGAGGGGGGCUGCUCCUAGUACGAGAGGACCGGAGUGGACGCAUCACUGGUGUUCGGGUUGUCAUGCCAAUGGCAUUGCCCGGUAGCUAAAUGCGGAAGAGAUAAGUGCUGAAAGCAUCUAAGCACGAAACUUGCCCCGAGAUGAGUUCUCCCUGAGACUUUAAGUCUCCUGAAGGAACGUUAAAGACGAUGACGUUGAUAGGUCGGGUGUGUAAGCGUAGCGAUACGUUGAGCUAACCGAUACUAAUGAACCGUGAGGCUUAACCUU
rnacentral:rRNA from 2 species